CCUCCUUAUGAAAUUUCGCCCUCGAAAUUUACAUAGGUACCUGGUAUGCCGAAGAGAUGAGGAUACAUUGACUUCAUUUCAGAUUCUAACUCUUGAGGUAUAACCUUGGAGUGUUGAAUAUGAUCCUUCUUAUCCGAGAUUUUAACACGUAUCUCUUCAUACGUUAAAUCUUCUGCUAUCUUGUCUAGUUUUAAUUCAAUAAUGUGGUUCGGGUCGUCCACAUAUUUAUGUAACAUUGAUACAUGAAAAACGUUAUGAACACGCGACAUACUUGGCGGUAAAACAAG
rnacentral:lncRNA from 1 species